CGAAGGAUGCUUCGAGAAACCGGAACAAGAGCAAAAGCCUGGCGACUGCGUCCUCGCGCCAAAAAGCUCGCUUACUUCAUUGACGUACCGGUACUUCGCCCACCAAGCCCUACACAACGCCACUAUUCAACCGGAUGAAGGCAACCUGAACACUCUUCUAAAUAUGACUCGGGCAGCCGCUCAGUUGUCCAAAGGCCUUGUAAUCAGAGUCGAGUUCACCACCGUCGAGAGCGCCUGCAACAGCUCGGUUACCUAUUCCGAGGAGACGUGCCCGCCAAUUGGAAGUGAUGCCAAUGGACUGUGCCAGGCAGGGUUCCUGUACUAUGGGCACCUGAUGCUUUAUCAUGCCAUGUGUAGACACAUCUAGGAAUAAUGCCACCUGAAGUCAUUUUUAU